CAGUCGCCGCGGUAAUACGAAGGGGGCUAGCGUUGCUCGGAAUUACUGGGCGUAAAGGGAGCGUAGGCGGACAUUUAAGUCAGGGGUGAAAUCCCGGGGCUCAACCUCGGAAUUGCCUUUGAUACUGGGUGUCUUGAGUAUGAGAGAGGUAUGUGGAACUCCGAGUGUAGAGGUGAAAUUCGUAGAUAUUCGGAAGAACACCAGUGGCGAAGGCGACAUACUGGCUCAUUACUGACGCUGAGGCUCGAAAGCGUGGGGAGCAAACAGGAUUAGAUACCCGUGUAGUCCCUGUCUCUUAUAC
rnacentral:rRNA from 1 species